rnacentral:rRNA from 1 species
UACGUAGGGGGCGAGCGUUGUCCGGAAUGACUGGGCGUAAAGGGUGCGUAGGCGGCUUGGCAAGUUAGAAGUGAAAUACCUAGGGCUUAACUCAGGUGCUGCUUUUAAAACUGCUGGGCUGGAGUGCAGGAGAGGUUAAUGGAAUUCCUAGUGUAGCGGUGGAAUGCGUAGAUAUUAGGAGGAACAUCAGUGGCGAAGGCGGCUUACUGGACGGUAACUGACGUUGAGGCUCGAAAGCGUGGGGAGCAAACAGG